UACGGAGGAUCCGAGCGUUAUCCGGAUUUAUUGGGUUUAAAGGGAGCGUAGGUGGAUUGUUAAGUCAGUUGUGAAAGUUUGCGGCUCAACCGUAAAAUUGCAGUUGAAACUGGCAGUCUUGAGUGGUGUAGAGGUAGGCGGAAUUCCCGGUGUAGCGGUGGAAUGCGUAGAUAUCACGAAGAACUCCGAUUGCGAAGGCAGCUCACUAGACUGCAACUGACACUGAUGCUCGAAAGUGUGGGUAUCAA
rnacentral:rRNA from 1 species